AGAGCAUACGGUGGAUGCCUUGGCGAUAUCUGCCGACGAAGGACGUGACAAGCUGCGAAAAGCUGCGGAGAGAUGCAAAUAAUCGGCGACCCGCAGACAUCCGAAUGGAGAAAUCCGGCUGUGAUGAUGCACAGCCAUCCAUGCCCAAGAGCAUGAGAAGGGAACCGGGCGAACUGAAACAUCUAAGUAACCCGAGGAAAAGAAAUCAAACGAGAUACCCCAAGUAGCGGCGAGCGAACAGGGAAGAAGCCCAAACCGGUGAAGGAAACUUUACCGGGGUUGAGGACCAUCAGACCCGCGAAGAACUUUAGCCGAAACUGUUGGGAAACAGUGCCAAAGACAGUGAAAGCCUGGUAGGCGAAAAAGAGAAACGCGGAGAUGGCACCAGAGUACCGCGGGACACGAGAAAUCCCGUGGGAAGCAGGGGGGACCACCCUCCAAGGCAAAACACAGAUAUCGACCGAUAGCGCAUAGUACCAUGAGGGAAAGGUGAAAAGCACCCCGGGAGGGGAAUGAAAGAGAACCUGAAACCGUAUGUUUACAAGCAGUCGGAGACCGCUUAAUAAUAAGGUCGACGGCGUGCCUAUUGAAGAAUGAACCGGCGAGUUACGAAGCCUGGCAAGGUUAAGCAGGAAAUGCGGAGCCGAAGCGAAAGCGAGUCUUAAGAGGGCGCAAGUCAGGAAGCGUAGACCCGAAACCACAGUGAUCUACCCAUGUCCAGGUUGAAACACAGGUAAAAAUGUGUGGAGGACCGAACCUAUAUCCGUUGAAAAGGGUUAGGAUGAGGUGUGGGUAGGGGUGAAAUUCCAAUCGAACGUGGAGAUAGCUGGUUCUCCCCGAAAUAGCUUUAGGGCUAGCCUCAGGGAAAAGAUUGCAGGCGGUAGAGCACUGAUCAGGAGAGGGACCUACCCGGUUACCAAACCCAGUCAAACUCCGAAUGGCUGCAAUCAUACCUGGGAGUCAGACUGCGACUAAUAAGGGCCGCAGUCAAAAGGGAAACAGCCCAGACCAUCAGCUAAGGUCCCCAAUGCCGUGCUAAGUGGCGAAGGAUGUGGCAUUUCAUAAACAACCAGGAUGUUGGCUCAGAAGCAGCCACCAUUUAAAGAGUGCGUAAUAGCUCACUGGUCGAGAGACGCUGCGCCGAAAAUGUCCGGGGCUCAAGCACGGAACCGAAGCUAUGGCAUGAUAGCAAUAUCAUGGGUAGGGGAGCGUUCUUAUAAGGAAGAAGCAUGACCGGAAGGACAUGUGGACGAAUAAGAAGUGAGAAUGCCGGUAUGAGUAUCGAAAAGAAAGGUGAGAAUCCUUUCCACCGAAAGCCCGAGGGUUCCUGAGCAACGAUCGUCGACUCAGGGUAAGUCGGGACCUAAGCCGAGGCGAGAAGCGUAGGCGAUGGACAACAGGUUGAAAUUCCUGUACCGGAUCAAGUCGAUCGAGCGAAGGAGCGACGCAGGAGGGCACAUGAUCGCGCGGCUGGAAGAGCGCGUCCAAGUGCGUAUGUUGCAGCAGAGGAAAACCCCUGCAGCUAAAAGCAGAGACAUGAUGGGGAGUUAAAGGAAACUUUGACGAACUCAUGGAUCCCACACUGCCAAGAAAAACUUCUAGCGAGACAAGAUCCGCCCGUACCGUAAACCGACACAGGUAGGCGGGGAGAGAAUCCUAAGGUGCGCGGGAAAACCCUCGUUAAGGAACUCGGCAAAUUGCAUCCGUAACCUAGGGAGAAGGAUGGCCCCCGGUCAGUGAAGAGCAGAAACGCUCAGAGCUAAAAGGGGCGGCAGAAAAGAGGCCCAAGCAACUGUUUACCAAAAACACAGGUGCCUGCGAAAGCGAAAGCUGAAGUAUAGGUGCUGACGCCUGCCCGGUGCCGGAAGGUUAAGGAGAGAAGUUAGCGAAAGCGAAGCAUCGAACUGAAGCCCCGGUGAACGGCGGCCGUAACUAUAACGGUCCUAAGGUAGCGAAAUUCCUUGUCGGGUAAGUUCCGACCCGCAUGAAAGGCGUAAUGAUUUGGGCACUGUCUCAACGAGGGGCCCGGUGAAAUUGAAAUACCUGUGAAGAUGCAGGUUACCCGCGACUGGACAGAAAGACCCCAUGGAGCUUCACUGCAGCUUGAGAUUGAAUCCCGGUGACAGAUGCACAGGAUAGGUGGGAGGCGCCGAAGCAUUGCCCUAGGGCGGUGCGGAGCCGAUGUUGGGAUACCACCCUUCUGUUGCUGAGAUUCUAACGCGAGGAGUAACGACCCUGCGGACCCUCUCAGGCAGGCGGUUUGACUGGGGCGGUCGCCUCCGAAAGAGUAACG
rnacentral:rRNA from 1 species